ensembl:lncRNA
ACUCAAGGUCUGUCUACAUAGACUUUCUAAUUGUUUCAUGAAUAGAGUGCUUUAUUGGAAAAUGAAAAGGAUCACUAAAAGUGCUUUAUUUUCAUUUCAUGUUAUUAUAAAAACAUAGAAAAUUUAGUAAUUUUAAGACAUUUUCACAUAUAAAUGUUGUACUUCAUUAUCAUUUGGUUGUUUCAUGUUGUUUCUGUACCUUUUUAAAGUUAAAAAAAAAUACUGGAUCUCUACUCCAGAAACGAUUGAGAAAUGGCUUUUUCUCCCCAUAUCCAGAUUUUUAUUUUACACUUAUAAAGUAUGAAUACUAAAGGUUAGUGAACAUUUUGGGUUCAGCAAUGUAAGUGAAUACUACACAGUGCCCAGUCCAAUACUCCAGAGAAAACACCCACCUAAAAAAAUGAAGACAAUUUUCUUUAAUGAUCAUCAAUUAUGCAUGACUAUUUGGAAGGCUCAUUGCUAUGGAAAUUCCAAAGUGAAGAUUCCUUUUAAUCAGGUUAGCAGCUUAAAUAAAAUAGAAUCUGUGGUAAGGAACUAUAUUACUUAUUCUCCUGUGACAACUUAGAACAAUAUAGUAAUCGCUCAAUUUAUAACUCUGGCUGUGUCUAUAUAAAUAGAGCUGAAUCAGAACAAAGGUAUUUAAUACAUCCAAUCAAGAUUUAAUUACUUAUCUCUUUGAUUCAAAGACCCUAUUUAUUACUUGAUAUAUAUAUAUAUAUAUAUAUAUAUAUAUAUAUAUACUUCAAUUAAGAAAGACACAAAGAUCCCAUAUGCAUACAAGUAGUUAUAAUAACACUCUCUGUGGUACCAAAGAAUUGGAAACAAAGUAAGUAGAUGCCUACCAAUUAGAGAAUGAUUAGACAAGUUUUAAUACAUUAUUAAUACAAUGUAAUAUUAUUGCAGUGUAAGAAAUGAAUAUGAAAAAAAACAGAAAUUAAUAUAAAGAGACUUGUAUGAACUAAUAACAGAAUAAGGGGAGCAAAAUCAAGAAAAUAACACAUGCAAUGAUCAUAGAAAACAAAAGUUAUAAUAACCAACCUGGGUCCCAAAAAUUAUAAGAAAAUGCACUAGUUCUUUUUUUUUUGCAUAGGUGAGAAGCUGUGAAUAUUGAUAUAAAACAGUACAAAUUGAGUGAGAUGUAAUAGACUUGGUUACGGUUUUUUUUUUAACUACUUUUCCCCCUACUGUUUUUUGUUACAGGAGGUAGUCAUCAAGGGAGGAAAGAGAUUAUGUAAUACAUAUAUAGGGGGAAAUAUGAUAUAUAACUAUAAAUAACUAUAAAAACUGAACUUUUAUGAUUACAUGUACAUUUGCAUAUAUAUUUGUAUACAAAGAUAUGCACAUACAGUAUAUAAAAUAUAAUAAUCAAGAAAUAAAAUCUAGCAGAAGAGUAAAAAAUUAUACAGUUAUAAUAACAACUCACAUUUCUACAGCAACCUUGUGAGCUACCUAAUAUCUAUAGUAUUAUCCAUUUGACAGAUGAAGAAAUUUCAGGUUCAAAGACCAGUUAGUCUCACAGCUGGUAAUUGUCAAAAGCCAAGAUUCAAUGCAGCUCUCAACUUUACACUAUCAUUACAAAAUGGUAAUGACCCAGAAAUAGAUUAAACAAAGUAUUUGCCAUCAAGUUAGACUCAGAAAAUUUGAGUGUUUCAAUUAAAUAGAUGAUGGUCUGCAUCAUGUACAACUGGUUUAAAACUCUUAUGAGACUCAAUCAAUCAAUAUGUACUGGGUGUUAUGUACUAUGAAAAUUAUAAAAGAAAUCUUUGUGUCAUUCCUAUCUCCAAAAAAUUUACAGUCUAAGUAGGGGGGAAUCUUAAUUAGUUGAUAUUAAACUCCAUGUAUAUAAUUUUCAGAUUCCUUCCACUGACGUUAUACUCAAAUGACUGUGAAAUGGAAGACCUGGAUCAUCAAAGGCUGUAUCAGUAGAGCACAAGGUUUUAUCAAGCAAGAAAGGAUCUAAU